rnacentral:tRNA from 1 species
CCUUCGAUAGCUCAGUUGGUAGAGCGGUGGACUGUAGCUGUAACUAAACUGUAAUCCAUAGGUCGCUGGUUCAAAUCCGGCUCGAAGGA